AUGGGGCGCGGCGACGGACACGACGACGCGCUGCGGCGGUGGCUGCGGGAGGCGGGCGGGUGGCUGGUGGUCGACGGGGCCCUGGGCACGGAGCUGGAGGCGCACGGCGCGGACCUGCAGGACAAGCUCUGGAGCGCCCGUUGCCUCGUCUCCGCUCCCCACCUCAUCCGCAAGGUCCAUCUCGACUACCUCGACGCGGGCGCCAACAUCAUAACCACGGCCUCCUACCAGGCCACGCUGCAGGGGUUCCAGUCACGAGGCGUGUCGAGGGAGCAGGGCGAGGCGCUGCUCCUGCGGAGCGUCCAGAUCGCGCAGGAGGCGCGCGCCAUCUUCGUCGAAGGCCGGUCGAAAGGCCCCUACUCCGCGCGCGAUGAGUACGACGGCGUGGUGUCCAGAGCGCGCCGGCCCGUGCUGGUGGCGGCCUCCGUCGGGAGCUACGGGGCGUACCUCGCGGACGGCUCCGAGUACACCGGGGACUAUGGCAGAUCCGUCACCAAGGAAGCGCUCAAGAACUUCCAUAGGAGGCGGCUCCAGGUGCUGGCGGACGCAGGGCCGGAUCUCAUCGCCUUCGAUACCAUCCCAAACAAGCUGGAAGCACAGGCUUACGCUGAGCUGCUGGAGGAGAACGACAUCAGGAUUCCCGCCUGGUUCUCCUUCACCUCCAAGGACGGAGCUAACGCGGCGAGCGGUGACCCCGUCACCGAGUGCGCCGCCGUCGCCGACUCAUGCAGGAGGGUGGCUGCCGUCGGGAUAAACUGCACGGCUCCCAGGCUAAUCCAUGGCCUGAUCCUCUCCAUCAGCAAGGUGACGACCAAGCCGAUCGUGGUGUACCCCAACACCGGGGAGACGUACGUGGCCGAGACCAAGGAGUGGGUGGACUCGGCUGCUGCAGGUGGUGGUGCGCCGGGGACGGACUUCGUGUCGUGCGUCGGCAAGUGGAGGCAGGCGGGAGCCUCGCUCGUGGGAGGGUGCUGCAGGACGGGCCCGGCGACGGUGAGGGCCAUCGCGCGGGCGCUGCGAGAGGCGGAUGCUGCUGCUGCGGCCGAAGAUACCGACGAUGACUACCCUGCCGUGGCCGUCCUGUAG
rnacentral:rRNA from 1 species